rnacentral:rRNA from 1 species
CCCUUAGAUGUCCAGGGCUGCACGCGCGCUACACUGAAGGAAUCAGCGUGCUAAAACCAUUGUCGAAAGGCAUUGGUAAACCCAUUAAAAUCCUACGUGAUUGGGAUCGGGAAUUGCAAUUAUUUCCCUUGAACGAGGAAUUCCCAGUAAGUGUGGGUCAUAAGCUCGCGUUGAUUACGUCCCUGCCCUUUGUACACACCGCCCGUCGCUGCCCGGGACUGAGCCGUUUCGAGAAAAGCGGGGACUGCUGCUGUCGGGGCUUUCGGGCCUUGGCUUCGGUGGAAACCGCUUUAAUCGCAGUGGCUUGAACCGGGCAAAAGUCGUAACA